rnacentral:rRNA from 1 species
AUUUAAAAUGUAUUUUAUUAUUAGAGUAGUAGUAGUUAAGUUCUUGAAACUUAAAAAUUUGGCGGGAUUUUAGUCUAUUCAGAGGAACCUGUGGUAUAAUCGAUAAUCCACGUUGGACCUUACUUAAUUUUGUAAUAUUAUUUUAAAUUUAUCAAUUUGUAUAUCGCUGUUGUUUGGAGAUUUUAUAAGAAUAAUAAUUUUUAUAAUUUUUUAUAAAAAAGUAAAUCAGGUCAAGGUGCAGUUUAUAAUUAAGUAUUUCAUGGGUUACAAUAAAUUUAUUUAUACGGAUUAAUUUGUGCAAUUUGAUUAUAAAGGUGGAUUUGAAAGUAAAUUUUUAUAGAUAAAAGGGUUGAUU